AAGACAUCUGAAAGGGAUUAAAGAUUUAUCGGUGAUGGAUGGGGAUGCGUCUGAUUAGCUUGUUGGCGGGGUAACGGCCCACCAAGGCUACGAUCAGUAGGGGUUCUGAGAGGAAGGUCCCCCACAUUGGAACUGAGACACGGUCCAAACUCCUACGGGAGGCAGCAGUGAGGAAUAUUGGUCAAUGGGCGAGAGCCUGAACCAGCCAAGUAGCGUGCAGGAUGACGGCCCUAUGGGUUGUAAACUGCUUUUAUAAGGGAAUAAAGUGAGCCUCGUGAGGCUUUUUGCAUGUACCUUAUGAAUAAGGACCGGCUAAUUCCGUGCCAGCAGCCGCGGUAAUACGGAAGGUCCGGGCGUUAUCCGGAUUUAUUGGGUUUAAAGGGAGCGUAGGCCGGAGAUUAAGCGUGUUGUGAAAUGUAGAUGCUCAACAUCUGCACUGCAGCGCGAACUGGUUUCCUUGAGUACGCACAAAGUGGGCGGAAUUCGUGGUGUAGCGGUGAAAUGCUUAGAUAUCACGAAGAACUCCGAUUGCGAAGGCAGCUCACUGGAGCGCAACUGACGCUGAAGCUCGAAAGUGCGGGUAUCGAACAGGAUUAGAUACCCUGGUAGUCCGCACGGUAAACGAUGGAUGCCCGCUGUUGGUCUGAAUAGGUCAGCGGCCAAGCGAAAGCAUUAAGCAUCCCACCUGGGGAGUA
rnacentral:rRNA from 1 species